rnacentral:tRNA from 1 species
GCCUGGGUGGCUCAGUCGAUUGAGCGUCUGACUUCAGCUCGGGUCAUGAUCUCCAGUUUGUGGGUUCAAGCCCCACAUCGGGCU